rnacentral:rRNA from 1 species
AGUGAACGCUGGCGGUAGGCCUAACACAUGCAAGUCGAACGGCAGCACAGUAAGAGCUUGCUCUUACGGGUGGCGAGUGGCGGACGGGUGAGGAAUACAUCGGACUCUACUUUUUCGUGGGGGUUAACGUAGGGAAACUUACGCUAAUACCGCAUACGACCUACGGGUUAAAUCAUGGGAUCUUCGGACCUUGCGCGAUUGAAUGAGCCGAUGUCGGAUUAGCUAGUUGGCGGGGUAGAGGCCCACCAAGGCGCCGAUCCGUAGCUGGUCUGAGAGGAUGAUCAGCCACACUGGAACUGAGACACGGUACAGACUCCUACGGGAGGCAGCAGUGGGGAAUAUUGGACAAUGGGCGCAAGCCUGAUCCAGCCAUACAGCGUGGGUGAAGAAGGCCUUCGGGUUGUAAAGCCCUUUUGUUGGGAAAGAAAAGCAGCAGGUUAAGACCCCGCUGUUCUGACGGUACCCAAAGAAUAAGCACCGGCUAACUUCGUG